GAAAGAAAAAAUGUGUUUUGAAGCAUUAAAAAAACUAGCAUUCACUGGAGUUCAGCAUGAAUACUUUUAUAUAACUGGAGGAAAAUAAGCCACAAAUUUUAAACAUAAAUCCACUGAGAAUAGUAAUUUUUUAAAAGGAGAUUUAUAUAAUCACAUGACUCUUAUAUUCACAUUAUAUACAAAGAGAUAGAUGUCUUGAAUGGCCCAUUCAAGGAAGUUCACUUACUCCAACUUAACGAAGCCUCUAUCCUACAUCCUUUGUUUACUGACGGAAACAGUGGCACACUUAUCAAGACCAUAUUUCUGGAUCAGACCAUGCCAGUUUGAGCAGACAUGGCAGGAACAAGAACCUUGGCUGUAUUUUCUCAGAUGGCUCCAGUUGGGCUGCUGGUGACCCAUCUUGCUCUCUCAGAUGCAUGAGGCAAUAGGUGACAUGAUUCUGUCUUUUUCUUCAUUCUGCUAACACAGUAUACUACAUUAUCAAGUUCCAUAUAUUGAACCAUUCAUGCAUUCCAGGAAUGACUCCCACUUGGUCAUGGCAUAUGACCCUUUGAACAUGUUGCUAAAUUGUUUGCUAGAGUUUUAUAGAGGGUUUUCAUCAAUGCUCGUCAGGGAUAUAGAUCUGUAGUUUUCUUGUAGUGUCUCUGUCUGGAUUGUAAUGCUGGCCUUAUGCAAUGAGUUAGGAAGGGUUUUCUCUUCUUUGAUUUUUUGGAAAAGUUUGAGAAGGGUUGGCAUUAGUUCUUUAAAUAUUGGCAUAAUUUACCAGUAAAGCUAUAAGGUCCCAGCCUUUUCCUAGUCAGGAGACUUUUGAUUACUGAUUCAAUCUCCUUAGUAGUUAUAAGUCUAUUCAGAUUCCUACUUCUUUAACUUAGUCUUGGUUGGUUUUGUGUUUCAAAGAAUUUGUUCAUUUCAUCUCAGUUAUCCAAUUUGUUCAUACAGUUGUUCUUGGUACUCUUAUAAUCCUUUUUAUUUCUGUGGAUUCAGUUAUGACGUGUCCCCACUUUCAUUUCUGAUUUUAGUAAUUUGAGUCUUUUCUUUUUUUCUUAGUCCAUCUAGCUAAAGAAUUGUCAAUUUUGUUGAUAUUUUCAGAGAACUUUUGGUCUCAUUUUCUCUAAUACUUCUUCAUUCUCUAUUUUGUUAUCUCCUUUUAUCUUUAUUAUCUCCUCUCUGUUGCUAACUGUGGGUUUAAUUCGUUCUUCUUCUAGUUCCCAAAGCUGUACAGUUAGAUUGCUGGUUUUAGAGCUCUCCAGCCUUUUCUGUCAGCCUCCCCAGCGGCAGGUCCCGCCCUCAGCACUGCUCUCCCUGCAGCCCAGAGGUUGGGGUGUGUUGGUUUUUGUUUUCACUUGCCUCAAAGUGUUUUCUAAUUUCCCUGUGCUUUCUUCUUUGAUCCACUGGUGAAGAGUGUGUUCCUUAAUGUCAGUUACAACUUACGGAUUUUGCAGUUUGUUAUGGGUUCUAAUUUCAUCCCACUGUAGUCACAGAAGGUACUCUGCAGAUCUCUCUUUAAAUCUGUUGAGACUUCACUUGUGGCCUGACCUGUGGUCUAUCCAGGAGAAUGUUCCGUGGGCACCUGAGAGGCUGUUACUGGGGAGAGUGUUCUGUAUGUCCAUUAGGUUUAGCAGGUUUAUUGUGUUGUUUGUGUCUUCCACCUGGCAGUUCUGCCCGUUACUGAGAGUGGGCUACUGGUGUCCCCAGCUGUUAUUGUAGAACUGUCUAUUUCUCCCUUCAACUGUCAGUUUUUGCUCCAUAGAUUUUGAUGGUUUGUUAUUAGGUGGGUAAAUGUUUAUAAUUGUUAUUACUUCUGCUGUAUUGAACCUUUCAUUAAUAUAUAAUAUCCUGUCUCUUGUAACCUUUUAUUUAACAUUGAUUUUGUCUGCUAUGAGUAUAGCUAUGUCAAGGGUGCAAGGGCGAAAGGAGACCUACCAUCACACCUACUUUGAGAGUGAUGCCUCUAUUUAAAAAACAAAAA